rnacentral:rRNA from 1 species
CCUACGGGCGGCAGCAGUGAGGAAUAUUGGGCAAUGGACGAGAGCCUGAACCAGCGAAGUAGCGUGAAGGAUGACUGCCCUAGGGGUUGUAAACUUCUUUUAUAAAGGAAUAAAACGAGGCUCGUGUGCCUUUGUGCAUUUACUUUAUGAAUAAGGAUCGGCUAACUCCGUGCCAGCAGCCGCGGUAAUACGGAGGAUCCGAGCGUUAGCCGGAUUUAUUGGGUUUAAAGGGAGCGUAGGUGGGUUGUUAAGUCAGGUGUGAAAGUUUGUGGCUCAACCGUAAAAUUGCAAUUGAUACUGGCAGACUUGAGUACAGGAGAGGUAGGCGGAAUUCGUGGUGUAGCGGUGAAAUGCGUAGAUAUCACGAAGAACCCCGAUUGCGAAGGCAGCUAACUAAACUGUGACUGACAUUGAUGCUCGAAAGUGUGGGUAGCAAACAGGAUUAGAUACCCCAGUAGUC